UUCCGUAGGUGACCUGCGGAAGGAUCAUUACUGAACUGUCGACACGAGUUGUUGCUGGUCCUCGAAAGGGGGCAUGUGCACGCUCUGUUUACACAUCCACUCACACCUGUGCACCCUCUGUAGUUCUGUGGCCUUGGGGACUCCCGUCCUCUUGCUGCGGUCCUACGUCUUUACACACACACCGUAAUACAGUCUCAUGGAAUGUAUGUCGCGUUUAACGCAAUACAAUUACAACUUUCAGCAACGGAUCUCUUGGCUCUCGCAUCGAUGAAGAACGCAGCGAAAUGCGAUAAGNAAUGUGAAUUGCAGAAUUCAGUGAAUCAUCGAAUCUUUGAACGCACCUUGCGCCCUUUGGCUAUUCCGAAGGGCAUGCCUGUUUGAGUAUCAUGAACACCUCAACUCUCAUGGUCCACCAUGAUGAGCUUGGACUUUGGAGGUAUUGCCGGCCCAAUUGUCGGCUCCUCUCAAAUGGAUCAGCUUGCCAGUGUUUGGUGGCAUCACGGGUGUGAUAACUAUCUACGCUCGUGGUUUUCCACCAUGUAACCUUCAGCGAUGGAGGUUCGCUGGAGCUCACAGACGUCUCUCCUCAGGGAGGACAGCUUUUUGAACGUUUGAUCUCAAUCAGGUAGGACUACCCGCUGAACUUAAG
rnacentral:rRNA from 1 species